rnacentral:rRNA from 1 species
GAUGAACGCUGGCGGCGUGCCUAAUACAUGCAAGUCGUGCGGAAAGGCCACUUCGGUGGUACUCGAGCGGCGGACGGCAGAGUAACGCGUAGGAACAUACCCCAAACUGAGGCAUAACUGCUCGAAAGAGCAGCUAAUACCGCAUGUGAUCUUCGGAUUAAAGCUUCGGCGGUUUGGGAAUGGCCUGCGUCCGAUUAGCUAGUUGGUGAGGUAAAUGCUCACCAAGGCUUCGAUCGGUAGCUGGUCUGAGAGGAUGAUCAGCCUGACUGGAACUGAGAACGGUCCAGACUCCUACGGGAGGCAGCAGUAGGGAAUUUUCCACAAUGGGCGAAAGCCUGAUGGAGCAACGCCGCGUGCAGGAUGAAUGCCUUCGGUUGU